CCUACGGGAGGCAGCAGUGAGGAAUAUUGGUCAAUGGGCGCGAGCCUGAACCAGCCAAGUAGCGUGAAGGAUGACGGCCCUACGGGUUGUAAACUUCUUUUAUAAAGGAAUAAAGUGAAGCCCGUGUGCCUUGUUGUAUGAACUUUAUGAGUAAGUAUCGGCUAAGUCCGUGCCAGCUGCCGAGGGAAUACGGAGGAUACGAGCGUUAUCCGGAGUUAUUGGGUUUAAAGGGGGCGUAGAUGGGGUGUUAAGUCAGUUGUGAAAGUUUGCGGCUCAACCGUAAAAUUGCAAUUGAUACUGGCAGCCUUGAGUACAGUUGAGGUAGGCGGAAUUCGUGGUGUAGCGGUGAAAUGCUUAGAUAUCACGAAGAACUCCGAUUGCGAAGGCAGCUUACUAAACUGCCACUGACAUUGAUGCUCGAAAGUGUGGGUAUCAAACAGGAUUAGAUACCCGAGUAGUC
rnacentral:rRNA from 1 species